rnacentral:lncRNA from 1 species
AAGAGGAUUGUCUUAAAAUUUUAGCAUCGGAUAAAAAUAAAACUUUAUUGAUUAAUAGUUAAGGAUGGAGAUAGAGGAACAUUAUGAAUUAGGGUAUUACUAUUCCCAAAUUACAUUGCUAUAAAUUUAAUUAGUAUACACGUGCAUUAGAUGAAAAUCUUUUAAUAGUGACUUAUACAUUUCUAUGUCUUAACCUAGACAAUAUAAAUAAAAUUGAAAUACUAUACACCCUCCCUAUGUGUCCAAAUCAGAGCGAGGCUACACCGGAACACGAACACCAAAACGCAACACCUGAGAAACUGAGCUCCCAAGUGCUCAGUCAAAUAACAAAUAACAGGGUGAGUUUAUGUAAUAGGCAAAAAAAAAAAGAAUAGGAAAUAUACAACAAGGUAUAAACAUGAUUAUAUCACAUUAAUAAUUCAUGCAACAUUUAUACCAUUUAAUCAACACCUCAAUUUACACAUCACUAAUCAAUUAAUUAAAUCAAUCAUACAACAUUAAUUACUUAGAAUAUCGGAGAUAUAUUACUAAAUAUCCAACUCAUCAUUACACAUCAUUUAGCACCCACUAAUUAACACACACAAAUUAUCACUUAUCAUUUAGUGUGCAAUUAUGCAAACAUCAAUUAACAAUUUAUCAGUCACACAACAUUUCAUCUAUUGAAAUUAAGUAUGCAAUGUCUCCCUAAACACGACUUAUAUUCAUGUGGUACCCAUCAUCAUAAUUUUGGAAAACUGAUUCCAAAUGUUUUAGAUCAUCGUCUCUAAAACAACAGUAAACUAGAUCAUCGUCUCUAGAAUACUCAUCAAUAAACACCACUUAUGAAUGCAUGAAUGUGCAUAUACCAAACAUAUGGUUUUAUCUCAACUAUAACAUCAACAUAAUAUGGAUAACUUAAUCCAAAUAUUCUAAAUCAUCGUCUUUAGAAUACACCUACGCAUGAUAAAUCCUUAUUUAUCAUCAUCAAUAAAUUGAACAUCCUAGUUAUAUUCAUGAACAAUCACACCUUGUCAUUGUGCAUAAGCACGAAAACACCGUCAUUGUGCAUACGUGCGAACACAUCACUAAUACACCAAAAGAAUUCAUACACCAAUAAAAUUCAUCAUUUAGUACACAAAUAGAAUUCAUCAAUAAUCCACGUCAAUGAAACUUCAUCAAUAAACUCACAAAUAAAGUUUAUCGAUUAAAUACAUUAACUAACACAUCAAUUUAGUUUCAUUCAUAUAUUCAUCACGAAUAUCUUUUUGAAGAUUAGAUAAAAUAAUUUAGCUAAUCCUAACUCCACUCAACUACAUUCUCUAUAUUUCCCAAAAUUCUUACUUAUUCUUUACUAGAUUCGUUUUAAUUCGAAAACAACUUCUCCUAAUUAAUCACUAAGUUUUAUCAUGAAAAGUAGUGAUUUAAACUCUCCUAAACUCACCUAAUAAUUAGGAUAAAGUAGUAUAAAGAUUAGGGAUAAAAAGGGAUGGGAAAAAUAGACCUAACAUCACACAACAACGCAAACCAGAGUUGCAGGACUGCGAUUUGCGCAUGAUGCGCUAGCUUUGCGCAUGAGGCGCAAAAGACAGCAUCCACCUUCAGAAUUUUGCAGGUUUUGACCUGCUCACUGCACAGACCAUAAGUUGAGCUACGUAUAUCGGAUUUCAAUGCGUAAACAUGAGUUGAAAAUCUAAGGAAAAGAUCUACAACGUUUAUGUUGACGUCAAAAAUCAGUUCAGAACGCAAAGGGCUCAAAUUUUAACGUUUUUGCUUCAGACUUUAUCAAAAACUGUUUUUCUUAAACUAUAAAAAUUCAAUCUUUGAUUUUCCAAAAACCCAAUUUGAAUCCCAUUAGUCCUAAGAUUUAACUAAUCAACACUCAUGAUAUUUGAACCUCAACAAACAUCAUUCCAUCAACAAUCAACCCCAAAUCAGCAAGAUUCAUCAUCAUUAAUUCAUUAAAUCAUAUAAAAACCCAUUUUUCUCAAAAAACACACAAAUGAACAACACAACAAGAUAACAUGGAUUUUCUCAUAUAUGAUUCAAACAUGAAUCUAAAAGCAUCAAUAAGAUUAUUCACAACUAAAACAACAACCUACACCCAAGGGUUUUAUCACAAAACCCAAAUCUAAUGAGAGGGAUGAAGGAUCUUGGGAGAUGAGAAUGAAUUUCAUUCUCUCCCUUCAUCAACCAACCUCUACCCAUAAACAAAACUCCCCUUACCUCUAAUAAAAUGGAGAAAUGUUGGUAAGUUGACUUGAUCAAUCCUUGAAUUCCUCUUCUUUCUCUUUGUUCAUCUUCUUAUUCUUCCUCGCUAACUUUCUCCCAAACCCUUUUCUUUCUCUAUUCUCUUCUUUCUCUACGUUUCUUUUCUAUCUCUACCUCUUCUCAAUUCUCAAUUAUUUAUUUUUUUUUGACCUCUCUCUCUCUAACUUAACCUUACAUAAUCAUAAAUUAAGUUUUCCCCACCUUGCCACAUUACCAUUUUACCCUUGCACUAAAAUGGGCUCAUACAUGACUAGCUCAAUAAAUUGACAUCCUAAUUAACACAUAAAACACACAAAUAUGGCAAUUAAUUAAAUCAAAAUAAAAUAAUAAAAUCAAUAACACAGUUACGAAAUCGGGGCGUUACAACUCUCCCCCACAUAAAGAAUUUUCCCCCUCGAAAAUUACUCGUAAGAUACAACUCCAAAUUCUAUCAAUGUCGUAAUUCUUCCGAAAGGUAAACUAGGUAUCAGAGUCUGGUUUUGACUCUCUACUUAAGGUACUAACGGUAAAAUCUACUGAAUGACACUCAUUCCCUCUAAACCAUACUUCUCUCGUUUUCCAAAACAAUUGGAAACCAAAUUCAAUUCAAUAAAAAACAAUUCAUCAUGAAGGAGUUACCUAGGUGCAACAUCAAUGAAAGACUAGGUAUUUCUAUCAUGCAUAAUAAAAUAGAUCACAUACCAUAUUUACGAAAACAAAACUCCUGGAACAUAGUCAUAACACCCACAUGAAGGAAACGGUACAUUCAAAAGCAUGCAACACAGAAAAGCAUAUACACGGGACAUGUUAUAAUAUUACGAAACAAGAACAACUAAUCUAGCAAGUAAUUCAUAGCACGAACUGAAAUAAGACAGAUAUCAACUUCAUAAAACCACAAACUCACAUACUAAUAACACAAACAUCAAUAAAUUCGUACACACUCACACAACUAGCAUAUCCCUAAACAUAUUUUAGUAUCAAACAACAAAACAACACAAAAUCAUUUAUAGCAUCAUAUACAAUCACCACAAAACUUCGAAUUCACAAAACACGAUUAGUACAUUAUACAAAAUCACAUUUUCCAUAACCAAUCAUUUCUUAUUUCGCAGCAAUCUCUACACACUACUAAAGUUUGACAAAAUUAGUUUACUCCAGUCAACACGAUUUCGUCUACUAUUAACAACAGAUUAAGGGUGAUCAUAUCCUUAAUUUGCUAAUAGGUUGCCGAUAAUCAUGAUCGUGGCAUAACUCUCUUUAUCAAACUAACAUACUCCUAAAAAAACAUUGCAUUCAAAAUCAUGUGGUGACUAAAAGGAACACUUAAAGAAAAUGAAUCAUUCACAUUUGAAUUCACAUCAUUUUGGAAAAGAUGAUUGGAUAUAUCAUACACAUACUAAAGCUCACUCAAUUUCACCAUUAAUAUUUUACUCUUCCUAAUUUUAUACAAAAGUUAUUUUUCUAUUACAAGAGAAAAGAAUCUAGAUUUUCAACAAGGUUUAUCACCGGUUCAUAAACGUCGGUAGAUUAAGACUAGUUUUAAAGUUAUCAUAGAAACUACACACAAAACACACAUGUAGACAUACAUAAAAUUUCACAUACGCUCUAACACAAUAGUUAAUUUCAACUUUCAAUUCUAUUAACGUAUUCAAGUCAAUCUAAAACUUCGUAGUAUGCGAAAAAUUUCGAUAUCCUACACAAUUUCGAUUAAUAACAACCGCAAGCGAUAACAUCGAUGAAUAAACCACAACGAUAGCAAUGAUAACGAAUAAAUAUAACAUCAUUGAUUAAUAGUAAUUAUCAUAUCCAUUACGUACAAAUCAUUUCAGCAUAGUUCAACACUUAGUCAUUUUCAAAAAUGCUCAACGAUGAUUAGUUAAGAUCGGUUAAUAACAAACAAUUAUCAUUUCAACAAUAAUAAUUGAAAAGAAACUUUAAGAAGUUAUUCAAAUACAAUUUGAAAAUAUAUCUACAAUUCAAAUCCAAUCACAUAAACUUCAUCAUGCAAUUUUUGACAUGUAUAAGAAAACAAGUAAGCAUUUUUCGCUACGCAUUCAUCCCUAAUCAUACCUAACGAAAAUGAAAUCAAGUUUAUAACUAACAUACAUCAUCAUAUGCUUAAUUCAUAAAAGCUCUUAUAAUCAUCAAAAAUCAUUAAGCUUGAAAAUAAAGAGUCAAACAUAUGCAUCUUCAAGUUUCAAAUAUGAACAUUAACAAUAGAAAAUACUAAUAUUUCAUCAUGAUUAAAACUGCAAUAACAUUCUUAUCAACAUAGAUUUUCAAGUGAAAUCACUAAAUCGAGCAAAACAUUUCAUUUGACAAGAAAACAUCAAAGAUCAUGUAGAAGCCCUAAGACCUCAAGUAACAUAGAUUUUUCAUCAAUAACAAGGAGAUCUAUACUCAUACACAAGCAUAAUCAUUUUGGACGGAGCAAUAAGAAGGAAACAUCGUCACUUUAAUCAUUACCCUCAAAGUCAAAACAAUCAAUCAUAUUCUCAUCAAAUGUAAGUCAUCAUACUAGUUUACUAAAUCAAGUAAAAUUCCUAUUCAACCAACUAGAAACAAGUAUCAACUAACGAUUAAGCAUUAACGAGUUAGUACUUAAAAUUAUCCUCAUUUUAGGUUUCAUUCAUGAAACAAAAGUUAUAAAUUCUAAUCUCAUUACCAAUUAAAACACAACAUCGAGAAUCGAGUAAAGCAACAUGUCAUGAAGAAAAUAACAAAGAACUUCAUAAAGCAAUUCACCAACUUGCAAGAUAACUAAAUGACUAAGGUGCAAGUGUAAACAACAAUCAACUCAUAAAAAAGAUCAAUCGAUAAACAAACACAACUGACUCAAUGCACACUUGGCCUGACUCAACAUAUCUGCUCUGAUCGACACAUAACACACACCUAGCCCACAUAGUCCGAUUGGACCAACGGGGCUCUGAUACCACUUUGUAACACCCUAACCUGAAUACUAGUAUUAUUCCAGUUUUAUAAGAGGAUUGUCUUAAAAUUUUAGCAGCGGAUAAAAAUAAAACUUUAUUGAUUAAUAAUUAAGGAUUGAGAUGGAGGAAUAUUAUGAAUUAGGGUAUUACUAAUCCCAAAUUACAUUGCUAUAAAUUUAAUUAGUAUACACGUGCAUUAGAUGAAAAUCUUUUACUAGUGACUUAUACAUUUCUAUGUCUUAACCUAGACAAUAUAAAUAAAAUUGAAAUACUAUACACCCUCCCUAUGUGUCCAAAUCAGAGCGAGGCUACACCGGAACACGAACACCAAAACGCAACACCUGAGAAACUGAGCUCCCAAGUGCCCAGUCAAAUAACAAAUAACAGGGUGAGUUUAUGUAAUAGGCAAAAAAAAAAGGAAAUAUACAACAAGGUAUAAACAUGAUUAUAUCACAUUAAUAAUUCAUGCAACAUUUAUACCAUUUAAUCAACACCUCAAUUUACACAUCACUAAUCAAUUAAUUAAAUCAAUCAUACAUCAUUAAUUACUUAGAAUAUCGGAGAUAUAUUACUAAAUAUCCAACUCACCAUUACACAUCAUCUAGCACCCACCAAUUAACACACACAAAUUAUCACUUAUCAUUUAGUGUGCAAUUAUGCAAACAUCAAUUAACAAUUUAUCAGUCACACAACAUUUCAUCUAUUGAAGUUAAGUAUGCAAUGUCUCCCUAAACAAGACUUAUAUGCAUGUGGUACCCAUCAUCAUAAUUUUGGAAAACUGAUUCCAAAUGUUUUAGAUCAUCGUCUCUAAAACAACAGUAAACUAGAUCAUCGUUUCUAGAAUACUCAUCAAUAAACACAACUUAUGAAUGCAUGAAUGUGCAUAUACCAAACAUAUGGUUUUAUCUCAACUAUAACAUCAACAUAAUAUGGAUAAC